UAUCCGGAUUCACUGGGUUUAAAGGGUGCGUAGGCGGGNAGGUAAGUCCGUGGUGAAAUCUCUGAGCUUAACUCAGAAACUGCCAUGGAUACUAUUUGUCUUGAAUNUUGUGGAGGUNAGCGGAAUAUGUCAUGUAGCGGUGAAAUGCUUAGAUAUGACAUAGAACACCAAUUGCGAAGGCAGCUUACUACACANNUAUUGACGCUGAGGCACGAAAGCGUGGGGAUCAAACAGGAUUAGAUACCCUGGUAGUCCACGCCCUAAACGAUGAUUACUCGACNUCNGCGAUACACUGUUGGUGUCUGAGCGAAAGCAUUAAGUAAUCCACCUGGGAAGUACGAUCGCAAGAUUGAAACUCAAAGG
rnacentral:rRNA from 1 species